rnacentral:rRNA from 1 species
UGGGGAAUCAUGGUCAAUGGGCGAAAGCCUGAACCUGCGACGCCGCGUGAGUGAUGAAGGUCGUAAGAUCGUAAAACUCUUUUCAGGGAUCUUAAAGCACAACCGUCAACAACGGCUGUGUGUGACUCUCCCUGGAAGAAGCCCCAGCCAACUACGUGCCAGCAGCUGCGGUAAUACGUAGGGGGCGAGCGUUAUUCGGAAUUACUGGGUGUAAAGGGUAUGUAGGCGGCCCUUCAAGUCGCGUGUCAAAGUCCAGUGCUCAACGCUGGGUGUGCGCGCGAUACUGACGGGCUGGAGGGCUGGAGAGGUGAGCGGAAUUCCCGAUGUAGUGGUAAAAUACGUAGAGAUCGGGAGGAACACCAGCGGCACAGGCGGCUCACUAGACAGUUUCUGACGUUAAGAUACGAAAGCGUGGGGAGCAAACG